AAUGGGCGCAAGCCUAAUCCAGCCAUGCCGCGUGAGUGAUGAAGGCCUUCGGGUUGUAAAGCUCUUUUGGCGGGGACGAUGAUGACGGUACCCGCAGAAUAAGCCCCGGCAAACUUCGUGCCAGCAGCCGCGGUAAGACGACUGGGGCAAGCGUUGUUCGGAAUUACUGGGCGUAAAGGGCGCGUAGGCGGUUCUUUAAGUCAGGCGUGAAAGCCCUGGGCUCAACCUGGGAGUGGCGCUUGAUACUGGGGGACUAGAGAGUGGAAGAGGUUGGUGGAAUUCCCAGUGUAGAGGUGAAAUUCGUAGAUAUUGGGAAGAACACCGGUGGCGAAGGCGGCCAACUGGACCAUUUCUGACGCUGAGGCGCGAAAGCGUGGGGAGCAAA
rnacentral:rRNA from 1 species